UAUCGCCCAUCACUACUAACAUGUGUAGGAGAUUUUAGCAAUGGCGGGGAAAUUGAAAGAGCUUUAAUAAAAGCCAACAUUAAAUCAAGUUUUAGAUCAAAAUAUUCGUUCUAAAACCUUUAUUUUUUCGAUUUUAUCCAAGUAUAACGACUUAUCUUUAAAGAAUGGACAAUAUUGUGUUUGUAGCGGUUUCAAAAGAGCUGCAAAUUCCUUCAAAAGAUGUCAUUUGUGAAGCUUACUGAAUUACAACAUGUGGUUGAAGUGUGAUGGUUUUUUGGCCUCGAUACCAGCGCCGUAACCUGUUCAGAAGUUGCUGAAAAUACUCUGGUGUGUCUGCUUCUAAGGUAUUUGGGCUUGUUCUUGUAAUCUUGUGCUGUUAUAGUUUAAAUUUUGAUGUAUGAAAGAUAUAUCUCAAUUUGCUGGGUUUUAUUAUUAAGCAGUGUUUUAUAAUAUUCAACCAGUGUAGGUAGUGGCAAUGAUAACAAGCUUUCGUUGGUAUGGAUUUUACUAUCUAAAAA
rnacentral:lncRNA from 1 species